AGAGACAGCAGUCGCCGCGGUAAUACGAAGGGUGCAAGCGUUAAUCGGAAUUACUGGGCGUAAGGCGUGCGCAGGCGGUUUGUUAAGACAGAUGUGAAGUCCCCGGGCUCAACCUGGGAACUGCAUUUGUGACUGGCAAGCUAGAGUCUGGCAGAGGGGGGUAGAAUUCCACGUGUAGCAGUGAAAUGCGUAGGUAUGUGGAGGAAUACCGAUGGCGAAGGCAGCCCCCUGGGAUAACACUGACGCUCAUGCACGAAAGCGUGGGGAGCAAACAGGAUUAGAGACCCCAGUAGUCCCUGUCUCUUAUAC
rnacentral:rRNA from 1 species